rnacentral:rRNA from 1 species
GACGAACGCUGGCGGCGUGCUUAACACAUGCAAGUCGAGCGGAAAGGCCCCUUGUGGGUACUCGAGCGGCGAACGGGUGAGUAACACGUGAGUAAUCUGCCCUUCACUUCAGGAUAGCUCCCGGAAACGGGGAUUAAUACUGGAUAUGACACAUUCGCGCAUGUGGGUGUGUGGAAAGUUUUUUCGGUGGGGGAUGUGCUCGCGGCCUAUCAGCUUGAUGGUGGGGUAAUGGCCUACCAUGGCUUCGACGGGUAGCCGGCCUGAGAGGGUGACCGGUCACACUGGGACUGAGACAGGGCCCAGACUCCUACGGGAGGCAGCAGUGGGGAAUAUUGGACAAUGGGCGGAAGCCUGCUCCAGCAACGCCGCGUGAGGGAUGACGGCCUUCGGGUUGUAAACCUCUUUCAGCACAGACGAAGCGCAAGUGACGGUAUGUGCAGAAGAAGGACCGGCCAACUACGUGCCAGCAGCCGCAGUAAGAC